GACAGAGGGUGCAAACGUUGUUCGGAAUUACUGGGCGUAAAGCGAGUGUAGGCGGUUUCCUAAGUCAGGUGUGAAAGCCCCGGGCUCAACCCGGGAAGUGCACUUGAAACUGGGAGGCUAGAGUAUCGGAGAGGUUGGUGGAAUUCUCGGUGUAGAGGUGAAAUUCGUAGAUAUCGAGAGGAACACCGGUGGCGAAGGCGGCCAACUGGACGAAGUACUGCGCUGAGACUCGAAAGCGUGGGGAGCAAACAGG
rnacentral:rRNA from 1 species